rnacentral:rRNA from 1 species
CGGAACGGGUGAGUAACGCGUGAGGGACGUGCCUCAAAGAGGGGGACAACAGUUGGAAACGACUGCUAAUACCGCAUAAGCCCACGGCUCGGCAUCGAGCAGAGGGAAAAGGAGCGAUCCGCUUUGAGAUGGCCUCGCGUCCGAUUAGCUAGUUGGUGAGGUAACGGCCCACCAAGGCGACGAUCGGUAGCCGGACUGAGAGGUUGAACGGCCACAUUGGGACUGAGACACGGCCCAG